UCUUUGAAAAUGCACGUUUGAGUCCUUAUUGUUUCAUAAGCGAUUCAUCUCAGGUCCUAUACUGGCUCUGUCACGUGCCGCCUUCCUACGUGGCUUUUCGGGCCCACUCGACAGGUGCCAACGUGGACUGGUUUUCGCAAAUAAACCCCUGGCUCCCUCUCUUUGCUCCCCCAUGACCCCUCUCCUCUUUCUCUUCUUCCCCAUCUCCGGUCCUCCUCGCCGCACUGCUCCGCCCGUCCCGUCCAGGUCGUCCCCUCGCCGCCCCCUCUUCUGGCUCCUGCUUGUGCUGACGGAGCAACCCUGCAGCAGGUCUGCUGGCUAUCUCCCUACCAUCUCCCUUUUCCCCUCCGUGAUGCAAUGGAAGCUGUGGCAGCAAGCAGCGGCGGUGCUACAAAUCCUAGGCGGUGGUAGCAUCAACAGAAGCAGUAGCAGCAAGCAGCGGCGGCGCUAGAAAUCCUAGGCUCACCGCUCGCCGACUCUGCCAUCGCCUAGGCGCGCCGUCGCUGGAGUUGGGGAAGACAGGACGCGCGGGGGACCCCACAGCCGGCGUCGCGCCGCCGCUCCCGAUCUGCUUCCUCGCGUCCAUCCUCGCCUCUCCACCGCGCGCGGGAGCUAUGUGUGGACACCCAGAGCUCGCCGGUUCCCUCGCCUGCGCCUCCCGUGCCCCGGAAUCGCUCCGCGUCGAAGCUCCUCCGCUGCCGCCGCAAGGUCGUCGUCACGGGCCUCCUCCUCCGCCUCCCGGUCGAAGCCGACGCUACUCGCGCUUUGCCUACUCGCCGCAGACGCCACGGAAGUGGAGACCGUGAGAGAGAGAGAGAGAGAGGCACAUACCCGGCAUUCUUCAAGUCAGUUGGUACCUUGUCCAAUUUGGCAUAUAUUUCUUUGCUCGUAGGCUACAAAUUCGUGGAUUACUACUGAAGAACCUCUCUGUAAGUCUCACACUCACUUUGUGUUGUUGUCUUUCCAGUGACAAUUACUUGCUAUAAUUGCAGGCUCAUCUUAUCGAAGGAAUAAUCGAUGAAGUGGACCGAACUAUGAUCUUUUCGUGGGUGCAAAGGAGCAUCCACCAAGUGAAAUCCUUGUGUGACCGGCUGACACCUGGGUCGGAUAGGUGCCCACGACUUUGCUAUCUGUCGAAGCCGAGACACCAGACUUAAUGGUUGUGACCUUAUAAAGUGAAUUGAGAAUGAAAUUCGAAAUUCAUAUUGAUUCUUACUACGGUGCAGGGUCGCCAAACCUAGAAAGAUUUGUAAACCUUAUAAAAUGAAUUGAGUAUUUUGUUUUGGACGUGGAA